rnacentral:rRNA from 1 species
GAUGAACGCUGGCGGCGUGCCUAAUACAUGCAAGUCGAGCGAACGGACGAGAAGCUUGCUUCUCUGAUGUUAGCGGCGGACGGGUGAGUAACACGUGGAUAACCUACCUAUAAGACUGGGAUAACUUCGGGAAACCGGAGCUAAUACCGGAUAAUAUUUUGAACCGCAUGGUUCAAAAGUGAAAGACGGUCUUGCUGUCACUUAUAGAUGGAUCCGCGCUGCAUUAGCUAGUUGGUAAGGUAACGGCUUACCAAGGCAACGAUGCAUAGCCGACCUGAGAGGGUGAUCGGCCAAACGGGAACUGAGACACGGUCCAGACUACUACGGGAGGCAGCAGUAGGGAAUAUUCCGCAAUGGGCGAAAGCAUGACGGAGCAACGCCGCGUGAGUGAUGAAGGUCUUCGGAUCGUAAAACUCUGUUAUUAGGGAAGAACAUAUGUGUAAGUAACUGUGCACAUCUUGACGGUACCUAAUCAGAAAGCCACGGCUAACUACGUG